rnacentral:lncRNA from 1 species
CUGAUUUGCAACCUGUCCUUGGCCUUCAGGUCUUCAAGCUUGCCAUCUCUGCUCCCACCUGAGCUCUUUGAGGCAUUUGCCUUUUCCUUCCUGUGCCACGGUUUAGCACAGCGCCUUCCUCAAAGUGAUCGCUCUGUCAACAUUCUUACGGAUCCGAUGCUGGAGCUGGAUCCCAGGACCCUGAGAUUGUGACCUGAGCGGGAAGCAAGAGCUGGAGACUUAACCGACUGAGCCAUCCAGGUUCCCCAGGAAGAAGGCAUUCUUAAAAAGGAGAUUACCUCGACCAGCCAGAAAUCUGCAUAAAGACUUUCACGUUUCUUCUAUUUUUCCAGGUAAUUAUAUCAAAACGGUCCUAGCGAGGCCUCCUCUCUGCCUCUAGCAUUUUGUGUCACAAUAGUACCA